GCUGGGUGCAGUGGCGUGUGCCUGUAAUCCCAGCUACUCGGGAGGCUGAGGCGGGAGAAUGGCGUGAACCUGGGAGGCAGACCUUGCAGUGAGCCGAGAUCGUGCCACUGCACUCCAGCCUGGGCGACAGAGCGAGACUCCGUCUCAAAAGGUCUCGCUCUGUCGCCCAGGCUGGAGUGCAGUGGUGCGAUCUCAGCUCACUGCAGCCUUCACCGCCUGGGUUCAAGCCAUUCUCCCGCCUCAG
rfam:Gorilla gorilla gorilla genomic chromosome, chr1, whole genome shotgun sequence